rnacentral:rRNA from 1 species
UGAGUGGCGGACGGGUGAGUAACGCGUGGGCAACCUGGGUCCUGUACAGGGGGAUAACACUUAGAAAUAGGUGCUAAUACCGCAUAACGGGGGAAGCCGCAUGGCUUUUCCCUGAAAACUCCGGUGGUACAGGAUGGGCCCGCGUCUGAUUAGCCAGUUGGCAGGGUAACGGCCUACCAAAGCGACGAUCAGUAGCCGGCCUGAGAGGGCGGACGGCCACACUGGGACUGAGACACGGCCCAGACUCCUACGGGAGGCAGCAG